UCUAUAUAUACUUGUUUGUAUUUGAGCAUUCAUGUUUGUAGAUCCAGAAAAGUGCUCUGAACGCAUGACUGAAGAAAGAGGCGGGCGAUACCAAAGGGACAGACAGAAUUCAAAAGUCGAGGAAAACAGACAACGCUAACAAAAAAGAGCAACAAAAAUACAAAUUAAACAACUAAAAAACCGAACAAUUCAAAAAUGCACCAAAUUAAAACUUCAGUCUGUGCAAUAUGAACC
rnacentral:lncRNA from 1 species